rnacentral:rRNA from 1 species
CCUUUGUACACACCGCCCGUCGCUACUACCGAUUGAAUGGCUUAGUGAGGCCUUCGGAUUGGCUUCGGGGAUCCGGAAACGGAACCCUGUCGCUGAGAAGUUGGUCAAACUUGGUCAUUUAGAGG